CCAUCAUCUUUUCAAAGAGAUCCAUAACCUCCUUUUCAGAUAAGUUCAUGCAUCGUUCAUCCAGAAGCGCCUGGGCGAGGGGAAUUUCACUAAUAGGAGGUUGUGUGUCAACAUGGUGCUGAAUUAACGGUUUCUCUUUUCUCACUGUGGAUUUCCUGAAGCUUGUUAUUCUGUCACGCACAUCAUCUGCCAAAGUUUUUAUUUGGAUAUUCAACUUCGUCUUGUUCCGGGUCUCCUCCUCCGAGGAGCGCCCGCUCCGUUUUGCAUUCAUCUUGGUAGGGCCCGGGGGCUCGUCGCCACCCCCAGAGCCCGGAGCUGCCUGAUCUUCCAUCCUUCCGGCGGCUCCGCGCCCGGCACAAGGCCCCUUUUUCGUCAGGGCUGUAUCCUCACGGCCCCAUAGAGUCGGCACCCGCAACGGGGCGUCUCCCCGCCGCGGCUAAAGCAGUUCCUGGUGGUACUCAGGACGCCUACUCCCAAUCAACCGCCUCAGACGCUGAGCGUCGCUACGCACGCGCACAAACAGAUAACCGCUACUGCGCAUGCGCUUACGUAGCGCGCAUGAGCCGUGCGCGUGCCGCCUUUAUGACGGCGGGAGGCCGCAAACGGUAGUGGGGCGUUGCCUGGAAAUGGCGGCGCAGGGCGGGGGUCGGUUGUGAAGAGGAACUCCAGUUAGAAAGAUGUAAGAGUGAGAAAAAGCUGAUUGUUAUAGGGCUAGAUAGUACAGACCCAGUGAGUAGGAUGGCUUUAUUGUGAAGGUACUUUGCUUAGUUUUUCCUUAAAUUGUUGAGCUCAAGAAAGGUCUGCACCUCAUGCAUGGAAUAUCAACACCCCAUACUGAGGGCUUUUAAUGAGGCGUCUCUGACUGAAGUACGUUCCUUUGCAUUUUGUUUUAGGAGUACAUUAGGUGCAUAGGAUAACUGUGGUGUGUUGUCUACAACUGAGUUAGCCACAGAUGAAAGCCUUUUUUACCUCUCACAUUUGGGAAGUCCAGUCCCCAAAGUCUGAGCUUUCUGUGUACGUUCAUGGUUCGUAAUAUCAAAAUAAACUGCCUGAAGUGCUUCUGUAGAAAACAGAAUCCCUUUAGCUGGACCUCACGUAUGUCCCUGUAUCAAUAUAAUUGUUAUAUAAAAGAGAGGAAAAAUAGGCUUUUUGUAUUGGCAUAGCUGAACAUAUGUUUAAGUUACCAGGAAAACAGCCAUAGAAACAGUCACUGUCCGUUGUAAGAGGACAAGGGCAACCCAAAAAUCUUUGGAGUCCAGAUUUAUGUACAAACAUAUCAUUUCAUUAUCCUGUAGAUGUUCCCAGUUUUGCACAUCUUCCACAGCAGACCUUUUUUGUUCAACAUGCAAGUAAGACCUGUAUAGUACAGUUUCUCCCAUCUCUGUCUCCAUACCACAUCUACUGACAUACAUGGUUAAAGCAUGCCUGAGAUUCAUGGAGCAAUUUGGCAUUUCUUGAGGGUCCCCAAGAACAGCCUCAAUACCAGAUGAAAUAAUACAGUUUUUUAGCUAUACUCCAGAAUUUCCAGAAUUAUAGUAUUCCUAUUUCUAUUCCACCCCAACCCCCACCCAGAUUUGAGGACCAAAAAACAAUAUUCCACAUAAGAAGCAACAACUUAUGAGCAUAUAAAUUCUGCAGGCAAUUUUAAGCAAAAGGAGUGAGGACUGUCUCAAUUAGGAAAAUUUAAAUGAGAGAACCCCCCCCCCAAAAAAAAAAAAAAGCCACAACUGCUUAAGGCAACUAAACAAACCUAAGAUCAUUUUGGCAAUCAGCUUGCAUUGUGGUGUUUUGUCCCAUCUCCAACAGCAAUUUAGGUAUGGCCUGAGGGUGAAAACUUGUAGUUUUAUAAAACAUUCUUAACUUGACUCCAUAUCUAAGAAAAUCUGUAACUGUACAUUUAGCAAAAUUCAUUUUACAGUAGUAAAAAUGUGUAGCUGCAGAAGGUUCCUUCUUUGUAAAUGCUUUUCUCCUCUUGGUUUCUAAUGUAAUCUCAGUCAAACACUCAACUGCAACAAGUGAGUCAGACAAUACCUUAAUGACAGUAGGCUGAUAGGUAUGUCCCUCAAUCAUGUACUGUUUUAUAUCUGAAUUUGAACAAAAUAGGCUUUUCAAGAUGACUGUCUGAUACAGCAAUCUAAGAACUUAACUUUCUAACAUCCUCCCUCUAAACAUAUUAAAAAAUACAACUAUGAAAGUUUCUAGAAUCUACA
rnacentral:lncRNA from 1 species